GCCCAUACCACGCUGAAAUAUCGGUUCCCGUAUAAUCACUGAAUUUAAGCAACGUCGAGCCUGUUCAGUACCUAGAUGGGUGACCGCUUAGCAAUACAGGUGCU